rnacentral:rRNA from 1 species
GACGAACGCUGGCGGCGUGCUUAACACAUGCAAGUCGAGCGAUGAAGCACCUUCGGGUGUGAAUUAGCGGCGAACGGGUGAGGAACACGUGAAGAAUCUGCCUUCAACUCUGGGAUAACUCCGGGAAACCGGGGCUAAUACCGGAUAUGAGCCUUGAUCGCAUGAACGGGGCUGGAAAGUUUUUCGGUUGAAGAUGACUUCGCGGCCUAUCAGCUUGUUGGUGAGGUAAUGGCUCACCAAGGCGACGACGGGUAGCCGGCCUGAGAGGGCGACCGGCCACACUGGGACUGAGACACGGCCCAGACUCCUACAGGAGGCAGCAGUGGGGAAUAUUGGGCAAUGGAGGAAACUCUGACCCAGCGACGCCGCGUGAGGGAUGAAGGCCUUCGGGUUGUAAACCUCUUCCAGUAGGGAAGAAGCGAAAGUGACGGUACCUACAGAAGAAGCACCGGCUAACUAUGUGCCAGCCGCCGCCGUAA